AUGAAGAAGUACGAAGCAGAUGCAAGGUGGUUAGCGAUUGAAAAGGUAAACACGACCAGGCCUUUUAGCUCAUCGGCGAUGUUUGAAACCAUGAAGUCAGUUUGGGGGCUAGCGCACGUGCCCAAGUAUAGGGAGGCUGGUAAGAAUCUUUAUAUCUUCCAGAUGUUUUUCUUGGGGGAUUGGAAGAAGAUUGUUCAUGGAGGACCUUGGCUGUUUAGAGGGAUGGGAAUACUCAUCGAAGAUUACGAUGGCAAGCGGGAACCAACCUCCUAUGUCUUCAAUGGCCUAUAUGUGUGGGCUCGGAUCCACAAUAUACCAGAGUUAUACAGGAAAUAUGAGGUAGUGGAUCAACUAGCAUGACACAUUUGUCGGGUUAAGGAAACUCAACUCUCUCCAAGGCUCUUUUAUGAGGGAGAUUAUGUCAGAGUACGUGAAAGGGUUCUAGUGAACAAACCUCUAACUAGGGUGACACCGUUGAACGUGACGGGGGGAGGAAAGAAGGCUAGAAAAUCAAAUUCACCAGUGAAGUAG
rnacentral:rRNA from 1 species